GCUCUGAAAAUAUGGCUCAGUGGUAGAGCAUCCACUUUGCAUGCAGAAGGUCCCAGGAUCAAUCCCCAACGCCUGCACUUAGAGCC
rnacentral:tRNA from 1 species